AUUGAACGCUGGCGGCAGGCCUAACACAUGCAAGUCGAGCGUGAAAGGGCUUCGGCCUGAGUAAAGCGGCGGACGGGUGAGUAACGCGUAGGAAUCUACCUGGUAGUGGGGGAUAACGUUCCGAAAGGAACGCUAAUACCGCAUACGUUCUGAGGAAGAAAGCAGGGGACCGCAAGGCCUUGCGCUAUCAGAUGAGCCUGCGUCCGAUUAGCUAGUUGGUAGGGUAAAGGCCUACCAAGGCGACGAUCGGUAACUGGUCUGAGAGGAUGAUCAGUCACACUGGAACUGAGACACGGUCCAGACUCCUACGGGAGGCAGCAGUGGGGAAUAUUGGACAAUGGGGGGCAACCCUGAUCCAGCCAUGCCGCGUGUGUGAAGAAGGCCUUC
rnacentral:rRNA from 1 species